UACGUAGGGUGCGAGCGUUAAUCGGAAUUACUGGGCGUAAAGCGUGCGCAGGCGGUUUUGUAAGCCAGGUGUGAAAUCCCCCGGGCUCAACCUGGGAAUGGCAUUUGGGACUGCAAGGCUGGAGUGCGGCAGAGGAGACUGGAAUUCCUGGUGUAGCAGUGAAAUGCGUAGAUAUCAGGAGGAACACCGAUGGCGAAGGCAGGUCUCUGGGCUGACACUGACGCUCAUGCACGAAAGCGUGGGGAGCAAACAGG
rnacentral:rRNA from 1 species